ensembl:snoRNA SNORA70 Small nucleolar RNA SNORA70
UUUAUGCAAAUCAGAGCAGAUAAGCUGCAAACAGCAGCCUCCUAGGUAAAUGUAUGCAGCCUGUUGCCUGUACAGGUUGCCGUAAGGGACCUUGGAAACAGUC